GAUGAACGCUGGCGGCGUGCUUAACACAUGCAAGUCGAACGAAGCACUUUAUUACAAUUUCUUCGGAAUGACGAUUUAGUGACUGAGUGGCGGACGGGUGAGUAACGCGUGGGUAACCUGCCUUAUACAGGGGGAUAACAGUUAGAAAUGACUGCUAAUACCGCAUAAGCGCACAGGAUUGCAUGAUCUGGUGUGAAAAACUCCGGUGGCAUAAGAUGGACCCGCGUCUGAUUAGCUUGUUGGUGAGGUAACGGCCCACCAAGGCGACGAUCAGUAGCCGGCCUGAGAGGGUGAACGGCCACAUUGGGACUGAGACACGGCCCAAAACUCCUACGGGAGGCAGCAGUGGGGAAUAUUGCACAAUGGGGGAAACCCUGAUGCAGCGACGCCGCGUGAGUGAUGAAGUAUUUCGGUAUGUAAAACUCUAUCAGCAGGGAAGAUAAUGGCGGUACCUGACUAAGAAGCACCGGCUAAAUACGUGCCAGC
rnacentral:rRNA from 1 species